GUGAAUCAUCGAAUUUUUGAACGCAAAUUGCACUCUCCUCGGAGAGUAUGCCUGUUUGAGGGUCAGCCUAAAAAAAAAUCGCCAUCGUUGCUGUUUUGCGGUGACGUUAGUCGGAAAUUGGGUUAUCUUAAACCUUUGGGUUUUUAAGCGAUUUAAAAUUUUUUUUUUACUCAUUGAACGUUUAUAAGAUUUAUAUUUUUUAAUGUUUAUGG
rnacentral:misc_RNA from 1 species